GUCUAUUAUGAAGAUAUUAAUAGUCUGGCCUGCUCCCUGAUUACAAGUUAAAGAGCCGCGGUAAUUUGACCGUGCAAAGGUAGCAUAAUCAUUAGUUUCUUAAUUGGGAACUUGUAUGAAAGGUUUGACAAAGAAAAAGCUGUCUUUAUUAUAUAAAUUGAAUUUAACUUUUAAGUGAAAAGGCUUAAAUAAUUUAGAGGGACGAUAAGACCCUAUAAAGCUUUAUAUAAAAAAUAAUUAAAACUUAAUUUAUAAUAAAAUUUAAAAUUAACUAUAUAUUUUGUUGGGGUGAUGUUAAUAAAAUUAAUAUUAACUGUUAAAAAAUAAUACGUAAAUAAAAGAGUCAGAAUUAUCAGUGAUCCUUGGUUAAAGAUUAAAAGAUUAAGUUACUUUAGGGGUAACAGCGUAAUUUUUCUUAAGAGUCCAUAUCGAAAGAAAAGAUUUCGACCUCGAUGUUGAAUUAAGAUAUCUGUGUAAAGUAGCCAUUACAUAAGAAGGUC
rnacentral:rRNA from 1 species